AGCGAACGCUGGCGGCAGGCCUAAAACAUGCAAGUCGAACGCCGUAGCAAUACGGAGUGGCAGACGGGUGAGUAACACGUGGGAACGUGCCCUUUGGUUCGGAACAACACAGGGAAACUUGUGCUAAUACCGGAUAAGCCCUUACGGGGAAAGAUUUAUCGCCAAAGGAUCGGCCCGCGUCUGAUUAGCUAGUUGGUGGGGUAACGGCCCACCAAGGCUACGAUCAGUAGCUGGUCUGAGAGGAUGAUCAGCCACACUGGGACUGAGACACGGCCCAGACUCCUACGGGAGGCAGCAGUUAGGAAUCUUGGACAAUGGGCGCAAGCCUGAUCCAGCCAUGCCGCGUGAGUGAUGAAGGCCUUAGGGUUGUAAAGCUCUUUCAGCGGGGAAGAUAAUGACGGUACCCGCAGAAGAAGCCCCGGCUAACUUCGUGCCAGCCGCCGCCGUAAGAC
rnacentral:rRNA from 1 species